rnacentral:rRNA from 1 species
UACGGAGGGGGCAAUCGUUGUCCGGAGUCACUGGGUGUAAAGGGUGUGUAGGCGGAAUGUCAAGUCAAGGGUGAAAGCCUGCAGCUUAACUGUAGAAUAGCCUUUGAUACUGGCUGUCUUGAGUACUGGAGAGGUAGAUGGAAUUGGUGGUGUAGCGGUGAAAUGCGUAGAUAUUACGAGGAACACCUGUGGCGUAGGCGGGCUACUAGACUGAUACUGACGCUGAUGCACGAAAGCGUGGGGAGCAAACUGG